GGAGACGUCGCUGCCGUGAUC
rnacentral:sRNA from 1 species